ACAGCAGCCGCCGCGGGAAAACGUAGGGUGCAAGCGUUAAUCGGAAUUACUGGGCGUAAAGCGUGCGCAGGCGGUUAUAUAAGACAGAUGUGAAAUCCCCGGGCUCAACCUGGGAACUGCAUUUGUGACUGUAUAGCUAGAGUACGGCAGAGGGGGAUGGAAUUCCGCGUGUAGCAGUGAAAUGCGUAGAUAUGCGGAGGAACACCGAUGGCGAAGGCAAUCCCCUGGGCCUGUACUGACGCUCAUGCACGAAAGCGUGGGGAGCAAACAGGAUUAGAGACCCCCGUAGUCCCUGUCUCUUAUAC
rnacentral:rRNA from 1 species